rnacentral:misc_RNA from 1 species
GUACUCUCACACUCUCUGAUUUCAGAUCGGGGAGAGGUGGACUUGGGUGUUGCUGCUUACCUGUGGCUCAUCUCAAAUGCAGUAGUGCACCUCUUGGUUGGACAUAGUACGGCGUGAUAAGUGUCUUCGCCGGCACCUCGGAGGAGGGUGACUGAUUGAGAGCUCUGUGCUUCAAACUGUCUUCGGACAAUCUCUGACA